CCGACCUUAGCUCAGUUGGUAGAGCGGAGGACUGUAGUGGUCUGUGCUGUCAUCCUUAGGUCGCUGGUUCGAAUCCGGCAGGUCGGA
rnacentral:tRNA from 1 species